UUCGCGACUGUCGCAGGACGCCUCCGCCGCGCACUUUACGGCACACACGUGCUUUCUGCGCUCUUAUGUGCCCUUCACUGCUCCACAUCGCAUCCAGAGACGAUCUUUGAUUAAAUCUGAAUGAAAUGUUGUCCAAACUGAGUAAUGAGAGUGAAAUGAUGUCCAAACUGAGUAAAGAGAGCAAGCAGCGGCUGCAGCAGGUGUUCCAGUGCGGCCAGUUCAUCAUCCGCUGGGGUUUCAUCCCCACCGUGUUGUACCUGGGAUUCAAGCGUGGAGCUGAUCCAGGGAUGCCUGAACCCUCGGUGUUCAGUUUGCUUUGGGGAUGAAGACGCUCCUGACAGAAACUCCAGACCUAUUCACAAACCUCAUGAAGACAUCCAUCGUCUCACGAGACGCUGUGCUCGGAUGUAAAUACUCCAGUAACGUUUGUGUUAUUUCAAGACUUCUGC